AUUGAACGCUGGCGGCAGGCCUAACACAUGCAAGUCGAACGAGGGGCGGACGGGUGAGUAAUGGCUGGGAAACUGCCUGAUGGAGGGGGAUAACUACUGGAAACGGUAGCUAAUACCGCAUACCAUCAGAUUUGCCCAGAUGGGCUUAGCUUGUUGGUGGGGUAACGGCUCACCAAGUCGACCAUCCCUAGCUGGUCUGAGAGGAUGAGCAGCCACACUGGAACUGAGACACUGUCCAGACUCCUACGAGAGGCAGCAGUGGAGAAUAUUGCACAAUGGGCGCAAUCCUGAUGCAGCCAUGCCGCGUGUGUGAAGAAGGCCUUCGGGUUGUAAAGUUCUUUCAGCGGGGAGGCGUUACCCGCAGAAGAAGCACCGGCUAACUCCGUGCCAGCAGCCGCGGUAAUAC
rnacentral:rRNA from 1 species